rnacentral:lncRNA from 1 species
GCCUCGAGAGCGAGACGAUGACGCUCUUCGUCGACUGCUCUCUGCAGACACAAGGACGAGGGCACGAAACAGAAGAAAAACGUUUUCAGCGAACGCGUGUUUUGCUUCUGGUCUCUCUUUCCAAAAUGGGAUCAACAUGCACGCAGUGCAGGUUGGGAGCUGCGAAAAAAAGGGCGUCUGCAUAUUCUGCGAAAACACCUUCCAUCUUGUUUUGUCGGAAUCGCAACGCACGUCUGCUGAACCUAUCCUCUCUCCAGUCACAGUUCUGCCGCUGGAGACAAGUUGGCUCUCAGCUUGCCGCGUUGUCCCUUUCAUUUUUCUGACACGAACGUUUUUUCUAGAACCACUUGAUUCGUCUAGGGAUCUCUUCCUCUGUUUCCCGACUUAAGUCGGAGCCUCUGCUAUCGGUCUUGUCGUUGGGUGUAUGCAGUCCAUUCCUGUUUAGCGCCAGGCAACAUCAAAGAUUCGCUGCCCCCUUCACAGCUCCUCUUCCGUUUCACCUUUUCAGGCUGGCUGUCUUUCAAUUUCCGUCUUCCCACGUCCUUCCAUUUUCUCCUCAAUGCGCGUUUUCCUCUUUUGCGCCUGACACAGGCGCGCCCUGCUGGCAAUCUUUGCCUCAACUGUCCUUACAGCUGCAGUCUUGGCGAGCUCGAGCCGAUGCUCCGCCUUCAAGAUUUCUUCCUCGAUGGUGUGCUGACUCUGUAGCUUUUCAUUUUCCGCCGCCGUGAGCGCUUCAGUCUGUUCGCGCAGUUGCUCUCGGAGGCGGCGCACCUGCCAGAGAAAACGCAUUUUCCCCGCACGGCGGCCAGAUACAGCAACAACAGGUUCCCCGGCGUUUGAGCUUUGAAAAAGGUGCUUCCAGGCUUCCGUUCACACGGGGGGGGGGGGGAUGGUGGGGGCAGUUGGGAAGAGGAUCAGUAAAAAGAGCGAAGGAGAAUUCGUUUAUGCGGCGGCGGGAACCCGCGAGGACAACAUUCAUCGGUGUACUUGUUGCGCCUCCUGUUGCCUCAGGCGCAGGGAAAGGCUUCCUACGUUUACAAAUGUGUGUGUUACGUUGUUGGAGUCUACCGCACUCCAUUUACGCGAGAUACAGACAACCAAGCUCUGACUGCUGUACACUUUUCACCACCCCACAAUGAACAGCUAUGGGUUAUAGUACGGGUGUUGACGAUGCACUCGACGGUCCCGACUGAAGUGUUUGAUAUUUCCGUUUCUAGCUCUUUGUUGCAGCACUCUUUGCCACUCGAUGCGCAUUGACGGAGCACAUGUGC